GUCUUUAAAAUACAUUAUAGAGUGGGCCGAACGAGUUCAGAGUGGGAUAUUCCACGUGUGGGUUGCUCCUUCUGCCUGGGUCCCUGAGUGAGAAGAGCUGCCCAUGGCCUCCAUAUACGUACUCUGUUCUAGGUGCUGAGGAUACGUCAGUUAAGAAGACAGUCAAAAUCCCUGCCCUCGUGAUGCUUAUAUUUUUGUGGUUUGGUCUGAAGACUGGACAGAUUGAGCAUAUUGAAAAGGGAGCUUUCUGCCUAAGCUGUCGGACAAAUUCAGUUCAAAGCCAUAGAUGUUGCUUUGUUCUUCCACUUUAAUUGAAAGAAUGAAGAAUAGCUGCCAGUGGUCCUACAAAUUUGAAGAUUUGAAGCCCAUUACAGUGUUGAAGAUGGUUUUCUUCCCGUUGCCAUCAUUUCAAGUUAGGGUGGAUUUGACUCCGAGAGGCUCAGAGCUGUACGUAAGUGGGACCACUCUUUUUCCUUCUCUGGACCCUGUGGAUGUAUUUCAUGAUCAAAUAGCCUUGCAAGAAGCUAUGGGCCUGCGCACCCGGGGUUGGUGGGGAUCCAAAUGGACCAAGGAGGACAGAAGGCCGGUGACCUGGUUUUUUAAAUCACAGCUCCCGGUCUUUUACCCUCUAGCUUUCUUCCCCAGGCUUAGGGUCCUCUCCGUGCUUCUCUCCACAGAUCUAAGCCCACUCCUUUCCCAGCAUCCUUUCCUGCGGCUUCUUGUAAAAUGCACACGGGGACACACUCACACGGCAUCUUGUGUGUAUCCCUUCAUGUUAACCCUUUACUGCCUGACUUGUUUUUUUCCCUAUUUACUUUCUUUACAUCGUUCCAGCAUUUACCCCUGCAACUCGAUAAAGUGCCUCUUGAUUCGCCCUUGUCUCUUUUUGCCUUGUCCCUGCGUCCUGGGUGCCGUCCCUUCUCCCCCAUGGGACUGGACUCCACCCGUAGGAAGGGUAUCUCUUCCUGCCUCUGGAUUUUUCCUUCUGCUCCCUGAACAGGAGGUGCUCGUCCUGAACACACCAUCGGAUGAUCCUUCAAGUCAGUGAAUUAUUUCUGAAAUUCUGAUUUAAGAUCUUGCUCUAAAUCUGGAUGGGAAUCCAGCAUUUGUCAAGAGCACAUUUUUGUUUUCUUUUUUUUUUUUUUGCAGGGGACGGGGUGGGUUAAAUGAGAGCUGCAGCUGCUGGCCUACACCACAGCCUCAGCAACAUGGGGUCCAAGCUGCAUCUGCAACCAGUGCCACAGUUUGCCACAACACUGCGACCAGGAUCAAACCCAAAUCCUCGCAGACACUCUUUUGGGUUCUUAACCUGCUGAGCCACAAUAGGAACUCUAAGAACAAAAUUUUCUUGCUUCUGACAUUAUUAGCUCAGGGGUGACAGGAGAAGUGAGAGAGAGAAAGAGAAACAAAACAAAACCCAUGAUUCUGGAGAUGAGCACAAUUUCUUGGGCCAAUUAACUGAGACAGUUCACAUGUUUAUUAUGUUUAAACUAUUGGGUGAUUAAUUUAGGGAGUUUUAUAGGCAGUUUAAUACUCUACUAGAAUCAGACAUAAGCCAGUUUAUAUAAAAGAAGAAACAACCCUGAGAUAGCUCUACCUCUGAUGAUGACUAUGACAAAUGAAAGAUGGGACAUUAAAGAAUUUUCCAUAAAUUGUAUAGUUCAAAAUGUGGUACAAAUAGGGAGUUCCUGUUGUGGCUCAGUGGAAAUGGAUCUGACUAGGAAC
rnacentral:lncRNA from 1 species